GCAAGCGUUGUUCGGAAUUAUUGGGCGUAAAGAGCUCGUAGGCGGUUUGUCGCGUCUGCUGUGAAAACUCGGGGCUUAACUCCGGGCCUGCAGUGGGUACGGGCAGACUAGAGUGCGGUAGGGGAGACUGGAAUUCCUGGUGUAGCGGUGAAAUGCGCAGAUAUCAGGAGGAACACCGGUGGCGAAGGCGGGUCUCUGGGCCGUAACUGACGCUGAGGAGCGAAGGCCAGGGGAGCAAACGGG
rnacentral:rRNA from 1 species